rnacentral:lncRNA from 10 species
AAAAAAUACAAAAAAAGCUUUUUUUAAAGUCCUUAUAUGAAAUAGAAAGCUCAGAAUUGAAAUGGGCUUGCUAGUCUGAGUUAUGCAAAGCAUCCCUUCAAAAUUGCUAGUGCUUCUCCUCCAUCUUCCUACUCUUCAGCUGCCAGAAGGAACAACUAUAGUUAAUGUUGUUAACUGAAGACUGCCCAAUUAUGUGAAAUAAACAUUUGGAAUAUGAGAUUUAGAGUCAUUCAUCUAGUAAGUAUGUGUCACAUGCCCUCCUAGGCUCUGGGGGUACAAAGAUGGUCUUGUCACAAUUGCCCUGUCCUCAAGAGGCUCUCAGGCUACAAUGAUGUGAUGAAUGAGCACAGGAUGCAUGAAGCACACAGGAAGGACGUCUGACCUGGUCUUGGGCAGAGGGCAGAUGUAGUUGGGAAAGUUUCUCAGAAGGGACAGCUAAAGUGAGAUCUGGGAUUAGCAGUACCAUCUGCAACUGUAUACUUUCUGAA